rnacentral:tRNA from 1 species
ACGAAAGAUUGACGAUUGGUAAGAAUCCACAACAAGUUGUUCUUCAUAGAUGUAUCUGAGGGUCUGUAGCUCAGUUGGUUAGAGCACACGCUUGAUAAGCGUGGGGUCACAAGUUCAAGUCUUGUCAGACCCACCAUGACUUUGACUGGUUAAAGUUAUAGAUAAAAGAUACAUGACUGAUGAUGUAAGCUGGGGACUUAGCUUAGUUGGUAGAGCGCCUGCUUUGCACGCAGGAGGUCAGGAGUUCGACUCUCCUAGUCUCCACCAGAACUUAAGAUAAGUUCGGAUUACAGAAAUUAGUAAAUAGAGAUUUCGGUCUUGGUUUAUUAACUUCUGUGAUUUAAGUAUCACGGUAUUAAGCAUGACCUGACGAAGGCGUGUUUAUUCAUUAACAGAUUGGCAAAAUUGAGUCUGAAAUAAAUUGUUCACUCAAGAGUUUAGAUUAAGUAAUUAAUCUGAAUGAAUUGAGAACUAGCAAAUUAACUGAAUCAAGCGUUUUGGUAUAUGAAUUUAGAUUGAAGCUGUACAGUGUUUAAAUACACAGUGCUCUAAACUGAAAUGUUGAAGUUACUAACUUGUAGGUAACGUCGACUGUUUGGGGUUGUAU